rnacentral:tRNA from 1 species
UCCGGGAUAGCUCAAUUGGCAGAGGUCGCGGCUGUUAACCGCGUCGUUGUAGGUACCCUACCCUUCGGGAACGCUACACGAACAAGUCCUACUCCCGGAGCCA